GUGUGUGAGAAAGCUCUUUGGUUGUUAAACCACUUUCAGGAGGGAGAAACUUCUUUCAUUUAAUACGUGAGUGAAUUGACGUUACCCGCAGAAGAAGCACCGGCUAACUCUGUGCCAGCAGCCGCGGUAAUACGGAGGGUGCAAGCGUUAAUCGGAAUUACUGGGCGUAAAGCGUGCGUAGGCGGUUUGUUAAGCCAGCUGUGAAAUCCCCGGGCUCAACCUGGGCACUGCAGUUGGAACUGGCAAGCUAGAGUAGGGUAGAGGGGUGUGGAAUUCCAGGUGUAGCGGUGAAAUGCGUAGAUAUCUGGAGGAACAUCAGUGGCGAAGGCGACACCCUGGACUCAUACUGACACUGAGGUACGAAAGCGUGGGGAUGCAAACAGGAUUAGAUACCCUG
rnacentral:rRNA from 1 species